UCGGGUAUGGUGUAGCGGUAACAUCGUUGACUCUCACUUCUCAGAAGUGUCUGUUUCUCUCUCUCUCAACAGCCCCGGGUUCGACUCCCGGUAUCCGAG